CACGAACUGUGCGAACGUUAUUCGGAAUUACUGGGCUUAAAGAGUUCGUAGGCGGCUUGUUAAGUCGGGUGUGAAAUCCCUCGUCUCAACCGAGGAAUUGCGCUCGAAACUGGCAGGCUUGAGUGAGAUAGAGGUGAGCGGAACUGAUGGUGGAGCGGUGAAAUGCGUUGAUAUUAUCAGGAACACCGGUUGCGAAGGCGGCUCACUGGGUCUUUACUGACGCUGAGGAACGAAAGCUAGGGGAGCGAACGGGAUUAGAUACCCCGGUAGUCCUAGCUGUAAACGAUGAGCACUGGACUGAGCGGACCUCCACAUCCGCCCGGUCGUAGCGAAAGCGUUAAGUGCUCCGCCUGGGGAGUAUGGUCGCAAGGCUGAA
rnacentral:rRNA from 1 species